rnacentral:rRNA from 1 species
AGUCCACAUCGUCGGGGAAGUUUGGCACCUCGAUGUCGGCCCAUCACAUCCUGGGCAUGGAGUAAGUCCCAAGGGUUGGGCACUUCGCCCACUAAAGUGGUACGCCAGCUGCGUAUAGAACGUCGUGGGACAGUUCGGUCCCUAUCCGUCGCAGGCGUAGGAAAUUCGUGGCGACCUGUCCUUAGUACGAGAGGACCGGGACGGACGUACCU